GACGAACGCUGGCGGCGUGCUUAACACAUGCAAGUCGAACGGUAAGGCCCUUCGGGGUACACGAGUGGCGAACGGGUGAGUAACACGUGGGUGAUCUGCCCUGCACUUUGGGAUAAGCCUGGGAAACUGGGUCUAAUACCGGAUAGGACCACGGCCUGCAUGGGUUGUGGUGGAAAGCUUUUGCGGUGUGGGAUGGGCCCGCGGCCUAUCAGCUUGUUGGUGGGGUGAUGGCCUACCAAGGCGACGACGGGUAGCCGGCCUGGGAGGGGGUCCGGCCACACUGGGACUGAGAUACGGCCCAGACUCCUACGGGAGGCAGCAGUGGGGAAUAUUGCACAAUGGGCGCAAGCCUGAUGCAGCGACGCCGCGUGAGGGAUGACGGCCUUCGGGUUGUAAACCUCUUUCAGCACCGACGAAGCGCAAGUGACGGUAGGUGCAGAAGAAGGACCGGUCAACUACGUGCCAGCCGCCGCAGUAA
rnacentral:rRNA from 1 species